rnacentral:rRNA from 1 species
CGGAGGGUGCAAGCGUUGUUCGGAAUCAUUGGGCGUAAAGCGCGUGUAGGCGGCUUGGCAAGUCGGUUGUGAAAGCCCGGGGCCCAACCCCGGAAUUGCAUCUGAAACUGCCUGGCUAGAGUCCCGGAGAGGAAGGCAGAAUUCCCGGUGUAGGGGUGAAAUCCGUAGAUAUCGGGAGGAAUACCAGCGGCGAAGGCGGCCUUCUGGACGGUGACUGACGCUGAGACGCGAAAGCGUGGGGAGCAAACAGGACUAGAUACCCUGGUAGUCCACGCCGUAAACGUUGAGUGCUAGGUGUCGCGGGUAUUGACCCCUGCGGUGCCGUCGUUAACGCAUUUAGCACUCCGCCUGGGGAGUACGGUCGCAAGGCUA